UCUCAGAACCGCCGAGCGCCGGAUGACUCCACCUACACGGGCCUGCAGAAACGAUCAGAACCGACGUAUAAAGAGCUUCCUGUGAGGAGAGAGCGUCAGCGGAAGAACGAGCAGGUUUACCAG